rnacentral:rRNA from 1 species
AGCAGUCGCCGCGGGAACACAGAGGGUGCGAGCGUUAAUCGGAUUUACUGGGCGUAAAGCGUGCGUAGGCGGCUUUUUAAGUCGGAUGUGAAAUCCCUGAGCUUAACUUAGGAAUUGCAUUCGAUACUGGGAAGCUAGAGUAUGGGAGAGGAUGGUAGAAUUCCAGGUGUAGCGGUGAAAUGCGUAGAGAUCUGGAGGAAUAACGAUGGCGAAGGCAGCCAUCUGGCCUAAUACUGACGCUGAGGUACGAAAGCAUGGGGAGCAAACAGGAUUAGAUACCCCGGUAGUCCCUGUCUCUUAUAC